rnacentral:rRNA from 1 species
UUGGGGGAGGCAGCAGUGGGGAAUAUUGCACAAUGGGCGAAAGCCUGAUGCAGCGACGCCGCGUGGGGGAUGACGGUCUUCGGAUUGUAAACCCCUUUCAGUAGGGACGAAGCGCAAGUGACGGUACCUGCAGAAGAAGCACCGGCUAACUACGUGCCAGCAGCCGCGGUAAUACGUAGGGUGCGAGCGUUGUCCGGAAUUACUGGGCGUAAAGAGCUCGUAGGCGGUUUGUCACGUCGUCUGUGAAAUCCCUCGGCUUAACCGGGGGCGUGCAGGCGAUACGGGCAGACUUGAGUACUACAGGGGAGACUGGAAUUCCUGGUGUAGCGGUGAAAUGCGCAGAUAUCAGGAGGAACACCGGUGGCGAAGGCGGGUCUCUGGGUAGUAACUGACGCUGAGGAGCGAAAGCAUGGGUAGCGAACAGGAUUAGAUACCCUGGUAGUCCAUGCCGUAAACGGUGGGCGCUAGGUGUGGGGUCCUUCCACGGACUCCGUGCCGUAGCUAACGCAUUAAGCGCCCCGCCUGGGGAGUACGGCCGCAAGGCUAAAACUCAAAGGAAUUGACGGGGGCCCGCACAAGCGGCGGAGCAUGUGGAUUAAUUCGAUGCAACGCGAAGAACCUUACCUAGGCUUGACAUAUACAGGACGACGGCAGAGAUGUCGUUUCCCUUGUGGCUUGUAUACAGGUGC